rnacentral:rRNA from 1 species
AACGAACGCUGGCGGCAUGCCUUAUACAUGCAAGUCGAACGCGAAAGCACUUUCGGGUGUUAGUAGAGUGGCAAACGGGUGAGUAACGCGUGGGAAUAUACCUUAUAGUACGGAAUAGCCUCGGGAAACUGGGAUUAAUACCGUAUACGCCCUCAGGGGGAAAGAUUUAUCGCUAUAAGAUUAGCCCGCGUCAGAUUAGCUUGUUGGUGGGGUAACGGCCUACCAAGGCAACGAUCUGUAGCUGGUCUGAGAGGAUGACCAGCCACAUUG